rnacentral:rRNA from 1 species
CAGCAGCCGCGGUAAUACGGAGGGAGCUAGCGUUGUUCGGAAUUACUGGGCGUAAAGCGCACGUAGGCGGCUUUGUAAGUUAGAGGUGAAAGCCUGGAGCUCAACUCCAGAAUUGCCUUUGAGACUGCAUCGCUUGAAUCCAGGAGAGGUGAGUGGAAUUCCGAGUGUAGAGGUGAAAUUCGUAGAUAUUCGGAAGAACACCAGUGGCGAAGGCGGCUCACUGGACUGGUAUUGACGCUGAGGUGCGAAAGCGUGGGGAGCAAACAGGAUUAGAUACCCCUGUAGUCCCUGUCUCUUAUAC